rnacentral:rRNA from 1 species
AUGCUUCUUCGAGAGUUGUUCUUCCGUUUGGUCUUUGGUCUUCAACUUGAGUCUUCCCUUUCCAUGGAGAUAAUUGCCUUUUGGUUGUGGCUCCAAGGGAAUGGCCAAGUUGAUUUCCUUCGGCGCAUAUACUCUUUUGGUGACAACCAUUUUUGUGCCCUUGUUUCUUCUGCAAAACGUUUUCUGGAACUUCUCCAUUUCCGAUUUGAUGAUUUAGCGAGCAGAUCUAUACCAAGAAGUGACUUUAAGAAGGAAGCUGUUGAAGGAAUUUCUUUCUACCUCAAUGGUAUCUGUUACGAGGCCUUGGAAGAUCUUCGAGAAAGAAUAGAGAUGGAUUUUAUCCAUAAUCAGAGGACAUAUCUGCGCCAUGAUGCCUAUGGACAGUCCAUGACUGAUCGGGUUCCUGUAGGCUCGGAGCACCUUCUCAGCAAGAUCAAAGCUUUGUAUGUCAACACUCCAAGUCAUGAUGGAGAAGACACAAGUUCUAGAAAUAUCCAUGUUCAAACAAGUCAUACAAAUGACGAAGUACACGAUUAUCAUUCAACUUCCCAUUUGGUGACAUCAUUGGAUAGCUUGAGCUUAAGAGAGAAGCAUAAUGAUGCAAUCAUGCAACAACUAUCUGAUGUUCCACCUGAUGAGAGAACUUUGUUCGUGACAUUUUCCAAUGGUUACCCACUGACCAAAGAUGAACUGUAUGAUUUUUUUAUGAGCCACUAUGGAGAUAUUGAAGAAAUAAGUAUAGAGGUGCCAAUCGAAGACAGGCUACCUUUAUACGCACACGUUACAUUUUACUCGCAGUUGACACUCUUCCGCGUUCUAGAUGGGAACAUUAGAGUCAAGUUCAUGACCAGCAGCGGAAAACACAUACGGGCUCGACAGUUCGUCCCCAAGAAGAAGAAAUAA